GGCAGUUCUCGGGUGACACACCCCAGAAUUGGGCCCCUUCCUCCCUGGUUCCAGGUGCGUCACCCUAGAACCGCA
rfam:Myotis brandtii contig308374, whole genome shotgun sequence.